GCUGUAGUGGUUAUCACGUCAGUCUAACACACUGAAGGUCGCCGGUUCAAGUCCGGCGGACAGUA
rnacentral:tRNA from 1 species